UGGGGAAUCUUCCGCAAUGGACGAAAGUCUGACGGAGCAACGCCGCGUGAGUGAAGAAGGUUUUCGGAUCGUAAAACUCUGUCUUUUGGGGCGAACGUGAGUAUGGUGAACAAUCAUAGUCAGUGACGGUACCAAAGGAGGAAGCCACGGCUAACUACGUGCCAGCAGCCGCGGUAAUACGUAGGUGGCAAGCGUUGUCCGGAAUUAUUGGGCGUAAAGAGCGCGUAGGCGGGAUAGUCAGUCUGUUGUAAAGUGCGGGCUCAACCCCGUGAUCGCAAUGGAACAGCUAUUCUUGAGUGCAGGAGAGGAAAGGUGGAAUUCCCAGUGUAGCGGUGAAAUGCGUAGAUAUUGGGAGGAACACCAGUGGCGAAGGCGACUUUCUGGACUGUGUCUGACGCUGAGGCGCGAAAGCCAGGGGAGC
rnacentral:rRNA from 1 species